ensembl:lncRNA
GCAAAUAAUUCCCGUUUUGAUUAUUUUUUUCUCAUUCGUCGUCGUCGGCGCUUUUAUUUCUCACUUUGAAUAGCGUUUGAAUAGACGGAAGAAUCGAAAAUGCGAAGUCAACGUUGAUCGCCUCACAGUUAUUUUUCUUAGCAAACUGGAAUUACUCGCCCAACAAAAGCUGUGGUGCGACAUUGAAUAAUCUCUAUUACACUUUUCCCUUAACAUUGCUAAACAAUAAACAAGAGACGACUUUAAUUAUUUAAGAUUUUUUAUUACGGUUCAUUGUAGUUUCUGACAAAAGUUGAACAAACAAGAAAUCUCCCAGAAUAGAGCUAUGAAUAUUACAUGAAUACAGUUUGUAUGAACAAAAAGACAGUAAAAAGAAGUCAGAAGAAAGAUUUUAUAUUUUUUACUUUUACACAUAUAUAAUAUUAUGUAUAUCAUAAUACAAAUCUAUGCCCAUAUAUUUGUUCAUCAUUGGGAUACUCAGCUCAUGGUGAGCUGCAGUGUAUUCCUUAAAUCUUCCCUGUACAAUAUUUUCUCUGAUACAGUCAUGGAGUGUUAUGUAAUGCUGUAAUAUCAAGUAAAACCUGAAUAUGAAUUUGACAUGCAUUAAUUUAAACACCAAAAAUACAGUGUAAAAUUUAGAACAAAAAUAUCAUUCAAUAAUCAAGAAGUCAUUUGUCAUGCCAGUGAUGGCAGUCAUACAAUCAGGGCUUUUCUAACAGGAGUCAGCGAUGAUACUAUUGCUGGUUUGACAGUAUCCAUGACGACAGUACGAGGAAGGAUGCAGUGAUGAGACUGAUCUUGUGGCUUACUCCACUUGAAACCUCUGUAAUGAAUGAGAAAAGAAAACAUGAUAUUACUUUUACAAAUAAAAAACAUAAAAUGGAAAAAAUAUUUGUGAGAUAUUGUUUAAUAUGUCUCACGUGAGCCAUCCACGAAAAUGGAGUUCAGGUCAACAUUGAAGACUGUGAUGUUUGAAGCUGCUUGAAUCAAAACAUUUCCAAUCUGAGUGCCAUUAGGAACAGAAGCUGAUGCAAAUCCAAUGUCCAUGUUGUUGAUGAUUGAACCAUUACUGCAAAUGAAACAACAAUAUGUAGUAUUAUUUAUUUGGAAUACAUUGAUGAUCAGUGCUCUUAAUAUCUGGUCACAAUAAAAUUAACAAAUUACCUGAAUGAAGUCACUGUUAAGGAGCGGAACGAAGUAAAUGCUCUUUGGUAGAACGGCUCGAGCUGCAGAAAUAGAAGUAAAUUGUUUAAAUGAAAAGAUAUAUAUGUUUUUGGUGUUUAUUGAUAACUUGUGGAUUGUUUAUCUCUCCUAUUUUCUAUGAAUGAAUGUAAAACUGACUGUAAAUAUUUUUUUCUUUGAAAACUCACCAGGAAUAAAAAAAACUUUUUUUCCAUUUACAAUAAAUAAUGUUUCAUCCAUCCAUUACUUACAUUUGACGUUAUCAAUGAGGCUCUUCUUUGAAACGCUGCAGAUGAUGUAUUUAGCAAGUCAGUGAUAAAUGUCUCUCCAGCAGAUCUGAAAGACAGUCGCCUUGUUGUGACCGCCUCAGUUGUUACAGGUGCAGCUGUUGUAGGUGCUGCAGUGGUAGGUGCAGCAGUUGUAGGUGCAGCUGUUGUGGGUGCUGCAGUUGUAGGUGCAGCUGUUGUGGGUGCAGCUGUUGUAGGUGCAGCAGUUGUAGGUGCAGCAGUUGUGGGUGCUGCGGUUGUAGGUGCAGCAGUUGUAGGUGCUGCAGUUGUAGGUGCAGCUGUUGUCGUCGUUGUUGCACCUGGACUUGUUACUGCUAUUUCAAGAAAUAUUAAAUGAUUACCGACACAAAGCUUACAUUUUACUUGUGUCAUUGUGAUUCAUAUCUGAUGCUUAGCUUACCCAUUAUAACCAGGAAGAUUAAUAUAAUCCGUGCCACAGCCAUCUUUUUUGUUUUGAAUCCCUACAAAUUGAUCAACGUAGGGGUUCAGUCACAUAGGUACAUGAUGAAAGCUUCCAUGUAUUUGAAACUUUUUAAGUUGCAUACUGUAUUCAGUUUGAACAUGACUAUGGUCAUUGUAGCAGUACGUUCAACUUACACAACAUUCAAAGGGAAACAUAUAUAUUUUUCAAAACAGUGUCUCAAAAUAUUCUAAUCCUGAGUGACAGAGAUUCUAUACUUUGAGACAAGGUAUGGAAUACAACACACGUUUAACAGGAAACAAAAUCCGAAUUUUAUAAUAUGUUAUUGUUUUGUAGCUAAAGUAGUCAAUAUAUAUACAUGUGCAAUGCUAAGAAAAAAAUAAAACGCUUGUUCCAUAAACGUGAUGAAGAGAUAAAAAAACUAAUAGAACUGGAUUAAAAAAUGAAUAUCAGAAAAAGACAAUAUCCCACGAAAUGUUAAAAAAAUGUUAGUAAUAAGUGAAAAUCUCUUCUGUAAUCUUCAAUCAAAGUAAAGCAAUGAAAUACAUAAAUAUCUUCAAAAAAUCUGAACGUAUGUAUAGACACAUUCAAACUCUUUCUCUUUAUCUCUCUCUUUGACACACAUGCAGAGACUAUAAAUAUACAGAAAUCUGUUUAUUGACUUAAAAAUAUACUUACAGGAAUCUAUCAGAUGAAGACCAGAGAUGAAAGGUUGUGAAUUCCCCUUUCUUGCUUACUUUGCACCUGGGAUGUUGGAAACCUUACACUUGAUGUGACAAAUCACAUAAAUUACAGUCUUUUAUAGGGACACGAUCGAAAGCCAAAGACGUCACUCCCGAGUUAAUUAUCGUAAGCUAUAAUUUCUUUCGGAUUCUUGGCUAAGUGUUUCCUUCUUUUGAUCUAUUAAAACAAGUCUCAUUCCAUUUACUUAAAAGGAGAAGGAAGCUCCAUCCACGUCACAGUAAGUUAGAAUAAAAAAUAUGUCUAAAGUAUUUUAUAAAAAUAUAUGACAAAAGUACAAAACAAUAAUCCCCAUUGAAGCUUAGCUACUUAUAGACUGAAAAAGGUUUAUUAGAUCAAUAUUUUUUGGUAAGAAGUGGUUAUAUUUAGUACAUAGUGAAUAUCAUCUGUUAAUUAGAUUAGAUUUCGUAAUUUAACUAAUGCAGCAUAUUUUAAUAACAAGUAAACAGCAGCUGCAUAAUAUAGUCAUCACCUCGUUAAAUGUUACAUAUUUAAAGGACCUUCAAUGUACUUCUGAAGCAGUUCCAUGAUAAUCCUGGCUAAUAUGAAGUAUGAAAGUAUUAUAUAUGAUUUCAUUUUUAGUUUUUUUUUACUCCUCAUACUUUUAGGAAGAAAACUAUUUAAAUCAACUUGACCUGUAAAAACAACAUCAAAUGCAUUCAUCGAUUGAUGACAAUUUUAUUGAAGCUUUUGACCAAAUUGAUAUUAGCCCAUUGAUUGUGAUUAACUUUGAGACACAACUACGGAUUAGUUUUUCAUGAAAACAAGAUUCUAUAUCCUUUCUACACUGGCAGUGGAGGUUACAACAGAACAUUUUAGCUAAAACUAAACGUUUUUCUCAUUUGUGUUUAUGUGUUUUCACUCAUUUAAAUGUUUCUUUUCAAUUUUACUCGUUUCUUUCAACGUCAGCUUAUGUUAUGCCGCAAAUAAUGAAUACGCAGUGAUCAUCUGUCACCCUAUUCUAUGAUGCUAUGCUUAGCUUUUACUCUUAGUGAUGUCUUUGUUAACAAAGACUAUCCCUGUGGUUUUCUUUUGUCUUGUACUUCCUGGUGAUCAACCGUCAACAAUCCUUCGAUUAAAUUGUUGGUUCAUUGCAGGUUGGUUUCGUCUUCCAUUGCCAAUACUCUUAGUUAAGUUCUUGUAGGUUUUCAUUAAUUAGACUAAAGACAAUUUUCCUACAACUCAACAGCAGAGAUAUAGCCACAGCAAUGACUCAGCAAAUCUAUGACCUUGUAUGACCUUAGAGGACUUAUCAAAGUUACAAGACAAGACAUACCUGAUGCAUGAGGUGUAAUGUGUUGUAUAAUCUGCUAAUAAGAUAAUGGCCAAAAAUAUAUUCAUGAUAGUUUGGCUUAUUGUGAAACAUGCAAUGUGUUACACUAUAUAUUAGGGGUGUAACGAUUCGAUUCAAAUCGCGAUUCAUGGUUGCCGAUUUGAUUCAUGGACGAUCUGGGUUAAUUUAGAACGAUUCGAUUUGAUUCAGUGACUUGAAAUCAAUUCAGUAACUUUACUGGACAGUGCAGGCAAAGUUUCUGAGAUCCCUGUUGUUUCUUGUAAGGAAAUCAGGUUUAAAUUAAUUAUGGAUAUUAUAAACAAGCAAACGACAAUUAAUGGCAAAUGUAUUAACCUUUUAUUUGAAUCAAGUGCCAUUUUCAAUGUAAACAUUACACAAUAAUUACACAAUGUUUGGAUCAAUUCACAGAACCCCGGAUUUUCAACCACAUUGUAGGGUCGCAUGUCUUUACAGCUAAACUUGGCAAUUGUUACUGUGAUGCUGAGUUUUGUGCUGGCGAGGCCUGAGGUGUCUGCAGAGCUGCAGUUACCUGCUGCUGCUGCAGCGGUGACGCUGCUACAGGCGCCUGACUGUCGGCGUUGUUUAAUCCCACGGCGCCUUAGUAGAUGGCUGGAAAGAUUUGUCGUGUUUCCGUGUUUUUUAUUUGGCUUCUACACAUUCUACAAACAGCGACAGACUUAUUUAGAACACCUCCGUGUUUGCAAAAGCCAAAAUGUUCCCGCACGCUGGAUCGAUAAGUUGGUUUGUAAAUGUCUUGCUCGCAGUCGUCUCCUCCACGCUGUGUUUUGUUGUUGUUCAGAGUUUCGCGCGGCUGCCACUUCGUACUGAAGACGUCACAGUCAGGCAGACUGAAUCCAGUAACGUUCAACGUGUUUAAAGUGCUAAAAAACAAACAAACAAACACGCAUCCAUACCGUUUUUGUACUUAAAUCCAAUGUGCAGUUUCCAAGUAUCGAUACAAUCGAUUAUGUACCAUUUCAAUCGAUUUGUAAUCGAUAUAUGUUGUCCUGAAUACCGAUUUGCGGAGCACAGAUCGAUUCAGUUGGAUCGCAGGAAUAUAAAUCAAUUAAUCGAUUCAGUGAAUGAAUCGUUACACCUCUACUAUAUAUAUAUAUAUAUAUAUAUAUAUAUA